CGGCGGCCCCGCUGGUGCUGGCCGCGGUGCGGCCGAAGGCUGUCCGAGGUAGGCUCCUCUCGGCUCUCCUAUGGAGAAGGCGGCGCUCACUGCAGUCCCGGAUGCACGAACUUCCCGCGGGACGUCGCCGGAGACGGUGGCUGUGUGCGCGCAGGAGCGAGCUGCCUGCGUGGGGGUCUGAGCGGGCACUCGGGUCGCGUCCCGGAGGGAGCCGCGUCGCCCGCCGGCCUGCGACGGCCCUAAGGGUGGAACUACUCUGCCAUGGUUAAAUACUUUAAAUGGGAAUAAAGGAUAGCAUUUCCAAGAAAAUGAGAAUGAAUAAAUCAUCUCUGUUUUUUAAAAGAAAGACCAUAUUAAACUUACAUGGUCUCUCACUGAACCUGUGGCUGAGCUGGCAAGAAGCAAGCCUGAGCAGUCCUAUUGUCUGCUUUCUCCCCUGUUCCUAGUGCCGCCGCCAUUAGAGGUUUGAAGACUGCAUCAUCCUGCCUCCAGUACAAGCAGUUUCUCUGUUCGGUGAUCAAUGUCACUCACAGGAACUUAAGUAACUAACGAAAUGAGCCUGGGGCGUGGAAAAUAUGACUUUUAUAUUGGUCUUGGAUUGGCUAUGACCUCCAGCAUUUUCAUUGGAGGGAGUUUCAUUUUGAAAAAAAAAGGCCUUCUGCGACUUGCCAGAAAAGGCUCCAUGAGAGCAGGUCAAGGAGGCCAUGCAUAUCUUAAGGAAUGGUUAUGGUGGGCUGGACUGCUGUCAAUGGGAGCUGGUGAAGUGGCCAAUUUUGCUGCAUAUGCAUUUGCUCCGGCCACACUGGUGACUCCACUAGGUGCACUCAGCGUCCUUGUAAGUGCCAUUCUGUCUUCAUACUUCCUAAAUGAAAGACUUAAUCUUCAUGGGAAAAUUGGGUGUUUACUAAGUAUUCUAGGAUCUACAGUUAUGGUCAUUCAUGCUCCAAAGGAAGAGGAGAUUGAGACCUUAAAUGAAAUGUCACAUAAGUUAGGUGACCCAGGUUUUGUGGUCUUUGCAACAUUUGUGGUCAUUGUGGCCUUGAUAUUCAUCUUUGUGGUGGGACCUCGACAUGGACAGACAAACAUUCUUGUGUAUAUAACAAUCUGCUCUGUGAUUGGAGCAUUUUCAGUCUCCUGCGUGAAGGGUUUGGGUAUCACUAUAAAAGAGUUGUUGGCUGGAAAGCCUGUUCUGCAGCACCCCCUCGCCUGGAUUCUGCUGCUUAGCCUUGUGGUCUGUGUGAGCACACAAAUUAAUUACCUAAACCGGGCUCUGGACAUUUUCAACACUUCCAUUGUGACUCCAAUAUAUUAUGUGUUCUUUACAACUUCAGUUUUGACGUGUUCAAAAUGCAAAUAGGUACAAAAAGGUUAGGCCAAUGUAAGGAACACUCUCCAGCUUCAGACCUGCCCACUUCAAAGUCAUGUAUUAGCUUAAAAAAAUUCACCCUCUUCCAUGCUACCCCCAUUAACAGGAAGAACUGAGGUUUGGGCCUGUGCCUGUUUCCUGUUUCCUCCCUACAGUUAUAUAGUGACUUAGCUUUUGUGAAGAAUUUUAUUUUGGAGUGGGGGUUAGCUUUGUUCUACUAUUGGCACUCUUAAGGAUACUUGCCUUGUGGGCCAUACUGGGUGUAGUCACAGUCCACAAAUGUUGUAAAACUGAGCUACAUUUCCAGAAUUCCUAUGUAACUUAAAUACCAGAGAGAACAGGUUUCCCCUGCACCCUCACCGAUAUACUUUGUCUAUUUUAUGUACUGUAUCUAUGUCUUAUUUUGCACAUAAAAAAUAGCCAAUGUUCAUUCCCUUGGGGGUGAAAAGUUUCCUCAUUGAGAAUGUGCGUGUUGUAUAUACAACACUUUAUAUAUAUGUAAUCUUGUACACAAGCAUUUUAUUUGGCCUAUCACUUGGUAAUAUGGUUGUUAACUUUUAAAAUCUACACUUCAUAGGGUCAGGACAGAUGCCGUUACAGCUAUUCAUAUCAACAAAAAAUAUUUUAGGUAACUUUUUGAUAAAUAGGCUUGUUUAAAAUGUAACUCAGGUUUACAGUACAACCGAAUAGUACCUGUGUUUUAUUUUCUGUGUAAAAUAAAGCUCAAAGCUUUUGGAUU
rnacentral:lncRNA from 1 species